rnacentral:rRNA from 1 species
AUAUUGGACAAUGGGCGGAAGCCUGAUCCAGCCAUGCCGCGUGUGUGAAGAAGGCCUUCGGAUUGUAAAGCACUUUAAUUUGGGAGGAAGGGUUUACACCUCAUACGUGUGACCGUUGACGUCACCAAAAGAACAAGCACCGACUAACGUCGUGCCAGCAGCGGCGGUAAUACGAAGGGUGCAAGCGUUAAUCGGAAUUACUGGGCGUAAAGCGCGCGUAGGUGGUUCGUUAAGUUGGAAGUGAAAGCCCCGGGCUCAACCUGGGAAUUGCUUUCAAAACUGGCGAGCUAGAGUUCGGUAGAGGGUGGUGGAAUUUCCUGUGUAGCGGUGAAAUGCGUAGAUAUAGGAAGGAACAUCAGUGGCGAAGGCGACCACCUGGACUGAUACUGACACUGAGGUGCGAAAGCGGGGGGAGCAAACAGG